UACGUAGGGGGCGAGCGUUGUCCGGAUUUAUUGGGCGUAAAGAGCGUGUAGGCGGCCAGGUAGGUCUGCUGUGAAAACUCGAGGCUCAACCUCGAGACGUCGGCGGAAACCAUCUGGCUAGAGUCCGGAAGAGGAGAGUGGAAUUCCUGGUGUAGCGGUGAAAUGCGCAGAUAUCAGGAAGAACACCAGUGGCGAAGGCGGUGCUCUGGGCCGGAACUGACGCUGAGGAGCGAAAGCGUGGGGAGCAAACAGG
rnacentral:rRNA from 1 species